GCCCCUGUGAUGGAACCGGCAGACAUGCGGCGCUCAAACCGCCGUGCCCCGUGAGGGGCGUCCGGGAUCGACACCCGGCGGGGGCACCA
rnacentral:tRNA from 1 species